rnacentral:antisense_RNA from 1 species
AUUUAUAAGCAUGGAAAUCCCCUGAGUGAAACAACGAAUUGCUGUGUGUAGUCUUUGCCCAUCUCCCACGAUGGGCUUUUUUUUGU